GACGAACGCUGGCGGCGUGCUUAACACAUGCAAGUCGAACGGUGAACCUCUUCGGAGGGGAUCAGUGGCGAACGGGUGAGUAACACGUGGGCAACCUGCCCCCGGCUCUGGGAUAACUCCAAGAAAUUGGGGCUAAUACCGGAUGUUCACCGCUUCCCGCAUGGGUGGUGGUGGAAAGGGUUUCCGGCUGGGGAUGGGCCCGCGGCCUAUCAGCUUGUUGGUGGGGUAGUGGCCUACCAAGGCGACGACGGGUAGCCGGCCUGAGAGGGUGACCGGCCACACUGGGACUGAGACACGGCCCAGACUCCUACGGGAGGCAGCAGUGGGGAAUAUUGCGCAAUGGGCGGAAGCCUGACACAGCGACGCCGCGUGGGGGAUGACGGCCUUCGGGUUGUAAACCUCUUUCAGCAGGGACGAAGCGCAAGUGACGGUACCUGCAGAAGAAGCACCGGCCAACUACGUG
rnacentral:rRNA from 1 species